UAGGUGGCCCUGCGGAGCUG
rnacentral:misc_RNA from 1 species